rnacentral:rRNA from 1 species
CAGUCGCCGCGGUAAUACGAAGGGUGCAAGCGUUACUCGGAAUUACUGGGCCUAAAGCGUGUGUAGGUGGUUGUUUAAGUCUGUCGUGAAAGCCCUGGGCUCAACCUGGGAAUUGCGAUGGAUACUGGGCGACUAGAGUGCGGUAGAGGAUAGUGGAAUUUCCGGUGUAGCAGUGAAAUGCGUAGAGAUCGGAAGGAACAUCUGUGGCGAAGGCGACUAUCUGGGCCAACACUGACACUGAGACACGAAAGCGUGGGGAGCAAACAGGAUUAGAUACCCCCGUAGUCCCUGUCUCUUAUAA